GGGGAUCGUAAGACCUUGCGCUAAAGGAGCGGCCGAUGUCUGAUUAGCUAGUUGGUGGGGUAAAGGCUUACCAAGGCAACGAUCAGUAGUUGGUCUGAGAGGACGRCCAACCACACUGGGACUGAGACACGGCCCAGACUCCUACGGGAGGCAGCAGUGGGGAAUUUUGGACAAUGGGCGAAAGCCUGAUCCAGCCAUGCCGCGUGAGUGAAGAAGGCCUUCGGGUUGUAAAGCUCUUUUAGUCGGAAAGAAAGRRUUGCAAYGAAUAAUUGUGAUUUAUGACGGUACCGACAGAAAAAGCACCGGCUAACUACGUGCCAGCAGCCGCGGUAAUACGUAGGGUGCGAGCGUUAAUCGGAAUUACUGGGCGUAAAGGGUGCGCAGGCGGUUUUGCAAGUCAGAUGUGAAAGCCCCGGGCUUAACCUGGGAAUUGCGUUUGAAA
rnacentral:rRNA from 1 species